rnacentral:rRNA from 1 species
CAGUUCGGAUUGUAGUCUGCAACUCGACUACAUGAAGCUGGAAUCGCUAGUAAUCGCGAAUCAGAAUGUCGCGGUGAAUACGUUCCCGGGUCUUGUACACACCGCCCGUCACACCAUGGGAGUCAGUAACGCCCGAAGCCGGUGACCUAACCGAAAGGGAGGAGCCGUCGAAGGUGGGACCGAUAACUGGGGUGAAGUCGUAACAAGGUAUC